GACGAACGCUGGCGGCGUGCUUAACACAUGCAAGUCGAGCGGUAAGGCCCUUUCGGGGGUACACGAGCGGCGAACGGGUGAGUAACACGUGGGUGACCUGCCCUCAGCUCUGGGAUAAGCCUGGGAAACUGGGUCUAAUACUGGAUAUGACUCCACGGUGCAUGUCGUGGGGUGAAAGCCUUGUGCGGCUGAGGAUGGGCCCGCGGCCUAUCAGCUUGUUGGUGGGGUGANGGCCUACCAAGGCGACGACGGGUAGCCGGCCUGAGAGGGCGACCGGCCACACUGGGACUGGAGACACGGCCCAGACGUCCUACGGGAGGCAGGCAGUGGGGGAAUCUUGCGCAAUGGGCGAAAGCCUGGACGCAGCGACGCCGCGUGAGGGAUGACGGGCCU
rnacentral:rRNA from 1 species